UACAGAGGUCCCAAGCGUUGUUCGGAUUCAUUGGGCGUAAAGGGUGCGUAGGUGGCGCGCUAAGUCAGGUGUGAAAUUUCGGAGCUUAACUCCGAAACUGCAUUUGAUACUGGCGUGCUUGAGGACUGGAGAGGAGACUGGAAUUUACGGUGUAGCAGUGAAAUGCGUAGAGAUCGUAAGGAGGACCAGUGGCGAAGGCGGGUCUCUGGACAGUUCCUGACACUGAGGCACGAAGGCCAGGGGAGCAAACGGG
rnacentral:rRNA from 1 species